AUUGAACGCUGGCGGCGUGCUUAACACAUGCAAGUCGUGCGGUAACAGGCGUAGCAAUACGUGCUGACGAGCGGCGAACGGGUGCGUAAUACAUGGGAAUCUGCCCUUUAGUGGGGAAUAACCCGGCGAAAGCCGGGCUAAUGCCGCAUAAGAUCUUCGGAUGAAAGCGGGGGAGUCGUAAGACCUCGCGCUGAUGGAUGAGCCCAUGCCGGGUUAGCUAGNGGUGAGGUAACGGCUCACCAAGGCGACGAUCCGUAGCUGGUCUGAGAGGACGGCCAGCCACACUGGGACUGAGACACGGCCCAGACUCCUACGGGAGGC
rnacentral:rRNA from 1 species